CCCCUGUAAAGCUGGUGCAAUCCAGCCAUUGCGUGUUAAUUGGCUUUGGCAGAAGCUUUAGCUCAAAAGCUGCUGUCUGCUUUCCUUCCUAGCCUUUAGCACUUUGUACCGUGCUUGUUCCAUGCCUAGCCCAAGGCUUCUGCUCAACCUGCUGGAAAGGCAAGGCAGGAGAGGGGUGUAAAGCUUAACUGAUCCUUGUGAAAGAUUGAUUGGUGCUGCAAACUGCUCAUAAGUCUGUUUGUCCUGCUUACCACCUAAAUAGUCUGAUAAUCUAGUCCUGUUACUGCUCUCUGGCUUGAUUUGAGUUUCUUUGGAGCUGUGCAGGGAGGCUUCCAGCACCCAGGUGAGGCAUCUGGACCAUCACUGAACUGUGGGGCCCUCGGCAUGGGCGCUUCAACACAGUUUCCCAUGCACUGGAGAGUAACGAAUGGUUCUGCAUCAGUCAUUGUGACCCAUACUUGGGGAAAAUGCCUUAGGAAGAUAGUUUGAUGCUUUUGGCUUAUAACACAUUGUGGGAAUAUAACAGAAGAUUGAUAAGGAGGAUUGCAGACACGCUCAACUGACUUGCAGCUGGGAUGUAGAGAAACACUGACAUGGUACUAAUCAUUGCUUAGUCUUGUGUGCUUGAGGAGUACAACCUUUGUGUUUAGGUAACACAGACCUGUGACAAACUCAGAGGCACCCUAGUAAACAUCCUUGAGAUUCCUGCCCGGCUGUAGGGAAGAUCAAAACACUGUAGAAACUGAUGCCUGUGUGAAUCCCCGAUCCAUGGGCAAAUCCAGGAGGUUUGGUAUUGUUCUGUCUAGCAAGAAUGGAGCCCUGCAGAGCCACUGUUCCCACUUAGGGGCCUCUGCCUUGGUAUUGCUUUGGAGAUCCCCCUGUUCAGGAGGUAAUGGAAAUAACCCUUUGCAUUUCAUCCAUGCUUUGAGGCUAUUCCUGCAUCCUACCUGUGUUGGCUCACGUGUCAAUAAUGUACAAAGCUCAUUAAAGCACACAAUCAUUACAGUACCACAGCACACUGCCUUCUAUGGAGCAUUUGGAGUCCGCUGCGCUGAUAAAGCACAAACCGAGAGACAUAAUAUACAUCUACUCUAAGGCGCUUUUAAGAAAUGAGGGAAAAAUCCUAGAGAACAGGAAAAAGACAGGAAGGAGGCUUUAACUGCAGUAUUACUAGAAGUACAUGCUUAGAAACAUAACUUUGAGUGUUAAAGCAGAUCUUGUUCAAUUUUUUAUUAAUCUGUGGACAUUCCCCUCCAAUGAAACAAUUGAAGCAACUUUUCUGAACAGCCUGUGAAUCAGCCACUCGUGCCGAGCAGUCUGUGACCGGUCACAGCGACUGUGUAGGCUCUGCUCUGGGUCACCCAGUCCCCUCGCACACAGGACCUGCAGCCCACCGUGGCCCCUGCCAUGGUGAAAGUAAGAGUUGCUCUUUUCUGAUACAUUAACACCUUGAAAAUGGUGUUAUGUGAGCAGAGUGGGUGUGUAAUCCCACCUACGCAGCUGAAAAAGACCCUCAACUCUUGCUUAAGUGUUACCAAUGCACUUUGCUGUGCUCACCACCCCACCCGUAGUGCCAAGAGCAUAAUGCAGUUUGAGAACAAGCUCCCUUUGACUUGUACCCGUUAUUUCUUAAUAGCAAAUGAAUUGGUGGGAAAAUUACUUGCUAGAAGUGAUAUAGAAAUUAAGGACACGGUUUUGUAUCUAUCUGCGUGAGGCAAGGAAACAUGCCAAGUUCUGCACAGGCUCCUGAGAACUAAAUGAGCAUCCAAGUGCUCACAGUAUCAAAGCAGCAUCAAAGGAUCUCUAGAGAUGAGCAAGCUUCAUAAACAAGCAUAAACAAAGAAGCUCAGGGAUGUCUGAGAAAGCUCAUCAGUAUAUAAAUAGUUCAUUUUGAAAUCCUCUAUUAUAAAACACCAUCAGAAAAGGGCUGAUGUGUGAAUGGUGAGGUUGAGGUCUCUUGUGAUUAUCAGGGAUCUAAAAGAUAACAGGGGAUUGCAGUGUAGGGCAUCUGCAGUGGAUAAUACAGCUGUACUGGGAAAUAAAGCCCAGGAAUGGACAGUGUGGUCCUGGGCAGGGUGGCCAGAAGUCUGGAGAGUCAAACUUGGCACUGUAAGGCACCACAGGCUUUUCUUGCCAUUCUCUAGGAGAAUCUAACCAAGCUGGAAUCAUUAAUCUCUCUCCAUGUGGCAAUUCAGAACCUUUUGAGUCACUUACACCUGAACCAUGUCCCGAUUGCUGAAGAGCCCUUUCAGAGCACAGAUGUUGCUACAGCACUCUGGUAACUUAUGGCUGUCACAAGAUAUUGCUAAUAUUUCUUGCAUGAGAAAAUAAUAACAUUUGAAAGUUGCACCUUGCCUUCUCCAGCAUAGAACAGUGCUUUUCUAGUCCUUUAAUUCUCUCCCUCAGUGUUUCACUGAAAUCUUUCUCCAUCAAUUCCCCAAUCAAAACACUUCAUCACCUGCACUGGGUGCAGUGGUUGCCCAUGCUGAUACCAGCCAGCACCUGAUGUGACUGCUGCAAUGUCAAUAGUGAAAUAUCAGAGGAUUCUGCCCUACACCACCUCUUCAACCAGCAUUUCUGGCUUUAAACAGCUGUAAUGAACCAGAGAACCAGAACAGCUUACUUUUCUUUGCCCUCUGAAACACAGUUUUUACCUAGGUUUCCACUUAUGGGUAGAAAGACAGUGCUCAGCACUUCUCUCAUCAGUCUUAAAUACAUCCCGAACAGACAGAGUGGAAAAUUGUCUUAAACCCUUUGGCAUCCACUUGCUGUCAGUUGCAUGUCAAGUCAGGAAUAAAAACUGGCAACUGGCUGUAGAUUUCACAGUUAUGCAGCAGGAUUUGUGGAGCUGAAUUUGCAGUUCAGUUCUUGGCUUCAGCUGUCACACCAUGUUCCUCCAGUGAUGAGCAUUCAUGCCACAGUGAGGCAUUAGAGUUGUCAGAUAUCCAGAGCUUACAGAAAUAACUUCAUUUUUGAAUGGACUGUCUCUUCUGGUAUGAAUAAUCAGACAGAACAACAUAUAAAAUAUUUGACAUGUACUAGGAGUCCAUACAGUCUCUGAUGCAUAAAAAUAUUUGGACUAUUUCAAACUCCAUUUAAUGCUUUUCCAGAAUAGUUUUGCAGAAUAGUUAAUUAUGAGUUCUAGAAUUAAGCCAUGCAAUCCUUCUUUCGUUAUGGUUUAAUGCUAUUUCUUUUAAUGGAGAUUGUGAAAGCCAUUGAUCAAAUACUUCUCAGGGACCUCAAUAUAAUGCAAGAAUUAACUAAAUGUUAACAGAGGACAAGGUAUUAAAGCUUUGCUAUUGAUAGUUAUUCCCAAGGCUCAACUACAAUUUGGCAGUACAAGUAGAUCAGAACUAUCUUUCCUAUCUAUAUUGCAGACAAGUAGCCAUUUAUCCUUGCAGUUAUACCAAACUCUGGUAGUUUGGCACAGAAUCGCAUUGCUUGUGUAGUCCAGAAGAGUCAUGAAGUACAAACAAAGCUGCACUGCUUUGGCUGAAGUUCCACCCAACAGUGGGUAAAGAGGAGCAUGCAGGCUUGGUCACUGCGUGUGACCCACCUGCAUCUUCCUAAGCACCUGCAAUUCUUGUACUAAGGAUUUUGGAGCUUCCCAGCCUAUUCCCUUUAGCAUCUGAGUUUAGGCUUGUUCGUGAAGUUGUCUAACUCAUUCCAAACUGCUGAUGCCACCUGCCUCUAUAACAAACUGUGACAACAAAUUCCAGAUCUUCUGCUCUAAAUUAUUUUAAGCCACUCCCAUUUGUAUGAGUGACUGCUCAUUCUAGUAUUGUGGGAUUUGGUGGCCACCAGUUUUGUGCUUGCCUUAUCCACAGCUUCAUGAUUUUGUAACUCUCAAUCAUGUCUCAGCCAAGGAGAUCACUGCAGCAUUUUCAGGAGGAGCCAUUACAACACACAACCUUAUUUUGCAAAAAAACCCCAAUAAAAUAAAAUUGCAAGACUCAUCUUCAAAUAUAAAAUAUGACAAGGGAAACAGCAUUAGUCAUAGUAGACACAAUGACUUGUCAGCAACAGCUAUGUGUUACUGUCAAACUGAGAUCACGCUCUCUUAUUCCAGCUCAGCUUAUACAUUUGAAAGGGGAGCGCGCACCUACUUCAGAGCAGGAAAUGCUUUAAAAUUCUGGGAUGAAAUCCCAGUGCCACUGAAAUAAUAAUAAUUAAAAAAAAUAAAACCCAAGAUUUAUUUUUAAAGGUACCUUGUGUAAAGUACAAGAAAACAGUAUUGCUUGUUCAACACAAACUUCUGUUUGUGUGCCAACUUUAGGCAAAAAGUUAUGGGCACAUGUUUAAAUACAUUCCCUUGGUUCAUUUUUCUGUCUAGCUCGCUAAUAAACUCUACAGGUGAUUCACGUGCGAUGCCUUGAUCUUCUUUCAAUUAUUUAAAUAUAAAAGUAUUCCA